AAAGAGAAAGUGACUGAGUGGCGGGACGGGGUGGAGUAAACGCGUGGGGUAAACCUGCCAUACAACAGGGGGAUAACAGUUGGAAACGACUGCUAAUACCGCAUAACCUGCUAGUGCCGCAUGGCACAGACAGAAAAGAUUUAUCGGUGUAUGAUGGACCCGCGUCUGAUUAGCUAGUUGGAGGGGUAAGGCCCACCAAGGCGACGAUCAGUAGCCGGCUUGAGAGAGUGAACGGCCACAUUGGGACUGAGACACGGCCCAAACUCCUACGGGAGGCAGCAGUGGGGAAUAUUGCACAAUGGGGGAAACCCUGAUGCAGCAAUGCCGCGUGAGUGAAGUAGUAUUUCGGUAUGUAAAGCUCUAUCAGCGAGGGAAGAUAAUGACGUACCUGACUAAGAACGCCCGGCUAACUACGUA
rnacentral:rRNA from 1 species